AUGCACACAGAAAAGAAUAUCGUCGAGGCCAUUUUUGGCACAUUGUUCAACAUUCCCAAGAUGACGAAGGAUAAUACUAAGGCCAGACUUGAUCUGAUGAAGCUAUGUGAUAGACCCAAACCAAACUUGCGGCAACCCGUGGGCCGAAAAAAUUGGACAAUGCCACAGGCUAGGUUUGUUCUUACAAGGGAAAAAAAGAAGGAGAUACUCAUGUGGUUCAAAACUUUGUUGUUCCCCAAUGGGUAUGCAGCGAAUCUUCGCACUCUCCCUGAGUACAAAGCUCGGUCAGGUAUCUCAACAUCUUCUAUAUGUCAAUGCUCGACUCCAGCAAUUGUUGCGAUGGAGGUAUUCUAUCCAAGUCCUUCUAUGUAUGCUUAUUUUAAUUCUUAG
rnacentral:rRNA from 1 species